rnacentral:rRNA from 1 species
AACGUAGGAGACAAACGUUAUCCGGAGUUACUGGGCGUAAAGGGCGUGUAGGCGGUUUGUUAAGUCUGGCGUGAAAGCUCUCGGCUAAACCGGGAGAGGUCGUUGGAUACUGGCAAACUAGAGGAUGGUAGAGGCGUGUGGAAUUCCGGGUGUAGUGGUGAAAUUCGUAGAUAUUCGCAAGAACACCAGUGGCGAAGGCGGCUCACUGGCCCAUUACUGACGCUGAGGCACGAAAGCGUGGGGAGCAAACAGG